rnacentral:rRNA from 1 species
CGCGUAGGCGGCCAUCUUUGUCAGGCGUGAAAGCCCCGGGCUCAACCUGGGAAUUGCGCUUGGGACGGGGUGGCUUGAGUUCGGGAGAGGAGAGUGGAAUUCCCAGUGUAGAGGUGAAAUUCGUAGAUAUUGGGAAGAACACCGGUGGCGAAGGCGGCUCUCUGGACCGAUACUGACGCUGAGGCGCGAAAGCGUGGGGAGCAAACA